GAUGAACGCUGGCGGCGUGCCUAAUACAUGCAAGUCGAGCGAACAGACGAGGAGCUUGCUCCUCUGACGUUAGCGGCGGACGGGUGAGUAACACGUGGAUAACCUACCUAUAAGACUGGGAUAACUUCGGGAAACCGGAGCUAAUACCGGAUAAUAUAUUGAACCGCAUGGUUCAAUAGUGAAAGACGGUUUUGCUGUCACUUAUAGAUGGAUCCGCGCCGCAUUAGCUAGUUGGUAAGGUAACGGCUUACCAAGGCAACGAUGCGUAGCCGACCUGAGAGGGGGGACGGGAAAAAUGGAAAAGAGAAAAGGGGCAGAAACCGAGAGGGGGGAAGAGGAGGGAAAAUUACGGAAAGGGGGGAAAGCUGAAGGAGAAAAGGCGGGGGAGGGAAGAAGGGUUUAGGAAGGGAAAAAAGUGUUAAUAGGGAAAAAAAAAAGGGUAAGAAAAAAAAGAAGGCUUGAAGGGAACAAAAAAAAAAAGCAAGGGAAAAAAAGGG
rnacentral:rRNA from 1 species